GAUGAACGCUGGCGGCGUGCCUAAUACAUGCAAGUCGAGCGAAUGGAUUGAGAGCUUGCUCUCAAGAAGUUAGCGGCGGACGGGUGAGUAACACGUGGGUAACCUGCCCAUAAGACUGGGAUAACUCCGGGAAACCGGGGCUAAUACCGGAUAACAUUUUGAACUGCAUGGUUCGAAAUUGAAAGGCGGCUUCGGCUGUCACUUAUGGAUGGACCCGCGUCGCAUUAGCUAGUUGGUGAGGUAACGGUUCACCAAGGCAACGAUGCGUAGCCGACCUGAGAGGGUGAUCGGCCACACUGGGACUGAGACACGGCCCAGACUCCUACGGGAGGCAGCAGUAGGGAAUCUUCCGCAAUGGACGAAAGUCUGACGGAGCAACGCCGCGUGAGUGAUGAAGGCUUUCGGGUCGUAAAACUCUGUUGUUAGGGAAGAACAAGUGCUAGUUGAAUAAGCUGGCACCUUGACGGUACCUAACCAGAAAGCCACGGCUAACUACGUGCCAGCAGCCGCAGUAAAAC
rnacentral:rRNA from 1 species